GGAGUGGAUAAUCAUGACAGCCAUAUUUAUUGCAAUCAUUAAAUUUCAAAUUUUUAGAUCCAAAAUGAUUCUGUAACAACCAAUUGAACCCCAUAGUUCAUAUUACCAAAUAUGUUUUAUACAAACUACAGCCAUGUUGGUAUUGAAUUAUUUUCUAAUAAUUUUGAGAAAGCUAACAACUGAUUUGAGCUUGAAUUUUCCAUUUCUUUAUUUGUAAGUUCAAAUAUUAACUCAUACAGAUUUAUUUAGUUCCCACAUAUUUUACAUAUUCAGUAAU
rnacentral:misc_RNA from 1 species